UACGAAGGGGGCUAGCGUUGUUCGGAUUUACUGGGCGUAAAGCGCACGUAGGCGGAUCGUUAAGUCGGGGGUGAAAUCCUGGAGUUCAACUCCAGAACUGCCUUCGAUACUGGCGAUCUUGAGUCCGGAAGAGGUGAGUGGAACUCCUAGUGUAGAGGUGGAAUUCGUAGAUAUUAGGAAGAACACCAGUGGCGAAGGCGGCUCACUGGUCCGGUACUGACGCUGAGGUGCGAAAGCGUGGGGAGCAAACAGG
rnacentral:rRNA from 1 species